rnacentral:misc_RNA from 1 species
UGGAGCUGUGAUUGUGCCUCAAAUAAUUGUUUAUGCCUCUAAUGGAUGUCAAAAAUGGAACCACAAUGUUGAAAUUAGAGGGAAAGGUUCUGUUGAAAUUGCUGACGUGGAGGGGUUGCUGAUGUGAUGUCGUCAACUGACGUGUAGUAGGUGGUGUCGCGGCUAAUGUAGCGGGAAGUAGAGCACAUGAUCAGGUACAAAUAGGCACAAAACUGCAAUAUUGGAAUCAAUGGCUAGGUGAGCAAGUUGGAUCUGACUAGGACAUGUAAGCGGGUGGUGGCUUAGAUGAGCAAUCUAACAAUAACAAAACGUCGAUUGACGUGUAAUGAGCUUUAGAUGAGGUGUAGAAGUGAAUUUGCCUGGUUGAUAUAGAUUCGAGUUUAAACCCUACCUGAAUAUAUGCCAUAAGUCGUUUGGUGUUCGGCUAUGGUAUGGUGGUUGUGUGGCUGAUUGGUUUUCAAAUGGUGGUGGUUUGUGAGGAUAGUGGUGAGGGGCUUAUGAGAGAGAGAGAGAGAGAGA